AAGCCUGGCAAUGGCGGGCGCCCCUCCCCCAGCCUCGCUGCCACCUUGCAGUUUGAUCUCAGAUUGCUGUGCUAACAAUCAGCCAGACUCCUUGGGCGUAGGACCCUCCGAGCCAGGUGUGGGAUAUAAUCUCGUGGUGCGCCAUUUUUUAAGCUGGUCAGAAAAGCGCAGUAUUCAGGUGGGAGUGGCCCGAUUUUCCAGGUGCGUCGGUCACCCGUUUCUUUGACUCGGAAAGGGAACUCCCUGACCCCUUGCGCUUCCCAAGUGAGGCAAUGCCUCUCCCUGCUUCGGCUCGCGCAUGGUGCGCGCACCCACUGACCUGCGCCCACUGUCUGGCACUCCCAAGUGAGAUGAACCCGGUACCUCAGAUGGAAAUGCAGAAAUCACCCGUCUUCUGCAUCGCUCACGCUGGGAGCUGUAGACAGGAGCUGUUCCUAUUCGGCCAUCUUGGCUCCUCUCGAUAAUUGCUUUCAUGUGAACCCUUCAUAAGGUAAAAUCAAAUCCCUAUUAGGAUAAAUGAUUGAGUGUUCCUGUAAAGAAUUGUUCCCCUGGUUCAAGCAACCAGAUUUCAUUCCCAGAUGAUCAAAAAUGGACUUGAUGAAAUGGAAAAGCACUGAUAGAAACAGUUCCACUGCUCAAAAUUACUCCUGAAGGGAUGAGGACACCAGGAUAUGCCACCGGACCACUGAAGGAAUGGUGAUGGUAUGAAGAAAGUAUUUUUAAUGAGCAGAGCCAUUGUUUGCUCUGCUCUGUCCUCACCCCUCAAGAGAAUUUCCCUUAUUAUUAUGAAAACUUUUUAUCUUAAAAGAUAUUACAUGUUAAUGGAACUGUCGUUUAACAAAUGUUUUAUAAGUGUACCAAUCAAGCACAUUGUCGAAAUAAAAGAUAUGAAAUAAGUGAAAAAAA
rnacentral:lncRNA from 1 species